AGAGUUUGAUCCUGGCUCAGAACGAACGCUGGCGGCAGGCUUAACACAUGCAAGUCGAACGCCCCGCAAGGGGAGUGGCAGACGGGUGAGUAACGCGUGGGAAUCUACCCAGAACUUCGGAACAACUGAGGGAAACUUCAGCUAAUACCGGAUAAGCCCUUACGGGGAAAGAUUUAUCGCCGAAAGAUCGGCCCGCGUCUGAUUAGCUAGUUGGUGAGGUAACGGCUCACCAAGGCGACGAUCAGUAGCUGGUCUGAGAGGAUGAUCAGCCACAUUGGGACUGAGACACGGCCCAAACUCCUACGGGAGGCAGCAGUGGGGAAUAUUGGACAAUGGGCGCAAGCCUGAUCCAGCCAUGCCGCGUGAGUGAUGAAGGCCCUAGGGUUGUAAAGCUCUUUUGUGCGGGAAGAUAAUGACGGUACCGCAAGAAUAAGCCCCGGCUAACUUCGUGCCAGCAGCCGCGGUAAUACGAAGGGGGCUAGCGUUGCUCGGAAUCACUGGGCGUAAAGGGUGCGUAGGCGGGUCUUUAAGUCAGGGGUGAAAUCCUGGAGCUCAACUCCAGAACUGCCUUUGAUACUGAGGAUCUUGAGUUCGGGAGAGGUGAGUGGAACUGCGAGUGUAGAGGUGAAAUUCGUAGAUAUUCGCAAGAACACCAGUGGCGAAGGUGGCUCACUGGCCCGAUACUGACGCUGAGGCACGAAAGCGUGGGGAGCAAACAGGAUUAGAUACCCUGGUAGUCCACGCCGUAAACGAUGAAUGCCAGCCGUUAGUGGGUUUACUCACUAGUGGCGCAGCUAACGCUUUAAGCAUUCCGCCUGGGGAGUACGGUCGCAAGAUUAAAACUCAAAGGAAUGACGG
rnacentral:rRNA from 1 species